rnacentral:rRNA from 1 species
GAAGAACGCAGCGAAAUGCGAUAAGUAAUGUGAAUUGCAGAAUUCAGUGAAUCAUCGAAUCUUUGAACGCACAUUGCGCCCCUCGGUAUUCCGAGGGGCAUGCCUGUUCGAGCGUCAUUACAACCCUCAAGCUCUGCUUGGUGUUGGGCACCGCCCUUCCGCGGGCGCGCCUCAAAGACCUCGGCGGUGGCGUCUUGCCUCGAGCGUAGUAGAAAACACCUCGCUUUGGAGCGCACGGCGCCGCCCGCCGGACGAACCUUUUGAACUUUCUCAAGGUUGACCUCGGAUCAGGUAGGGAUACCCGCUGAACUUAAGCAUAUCAAUAAGCGGAGGAAAAGAAACCAACAGGGAUUGCCUCAGUAACGGCGAGUGAAGCGGCAACAGCUCAAAUUUGAAAGCUGGCCCCCCCGGGGGUCCGCGUUGUAAUUUGUAGAGGAUGAUUCGGCGAGGGCUCCCGCCUAAGUCCCCUGGAACGGGGCGUCAUAGAGGGUGAGAAUCCCGUAUGCGGUGGGCUGCCUUAGCCAUGUGAAUCUCCUUCGACGAGUCGAGUUGUUUGGGAAUG